rnacentral:lncRNA from 1 species
CUUAAAUAAUAAAAAUCCACAUUAACAUCUCCAGAAAUACCAAAGUUCAAAUACCAAAGUUCAAAUUUUGUGCAAAAGAAUUAUUGAAACUUCCAUUAUCAACAUUGAUCUCCAUAAAUUAUUCAUCAUCAUCAACCCUGUAAUACCUCCUCUAUCGUUUCUCGAUGCAUUUCAUUUAAGGAUUAGGUAUGUACAUACGUGUAAAUAUUUUGCAAUAACACAGAAAAUGUAUUAUCUUAAUUACAACGAGGCGUUGUGUAACACUUUCGACAUAACACAUUCACUCACCAUCUAAUUAUUUGCUCACGAGCCAAUGCCAUCGCACGGAUCACAUCCAGCCAGCCAAUGCCAUCGCACGCAUCCAUCCAACCAGCCAAUGCUCUGCAUUUUUCCACCCUUCUUCGUGCAAUGAUCGCGCAGAUGCCACAAUCAAGAUAACGCGCUGUUAUUUUUCUAGUUGUUUCGUGGGGAAAUGGCGACACGAGCCAGUGUUGUAACACGUGUGACGGAAAAAAGUGGAAAAAAAAUGUGCAAAAUUGAAAAAUUGAAAAAAGGAUUCUAAAUUGAAUUGAUUAUAAUUUUUGUUAUAUUUUAUUACAUUAAAUAUUGUGAUUGAAAAUGGAUUUUAAGGAGAAUCGUUUGGAAAUUUACCAAAUUUUAAUUGUGAUUGCCGUGAUAUUAAAGGAUUUCCAACUUUUGAUCGAAUUCAAUACUGUAUUAUCUCAAAUAUUAGAUCACAAAAUCAAAACCAACAAAAAAAAAAGAUGGUGAAUACUAUCGUUACACGUAUUGCAAUAUCGAAAAACCCUUGACAUUUGAAUACUGGGUCAGAGUUUCGAGAUAGGAAUAAGAAUAAUCUUUUGAAUAAAAUUGGUCCAUCGAAUCCUCGUUCCCCUUUAUCACGUUAUUUAACUCUGUUAACUUCAAUUAAUAAAUACAGAGAAAAAUUUCCUCAUUUCGUUUCUUUAUUGAAAUCGAAUAAGAGUGAGAGAUUGACUUCUUAAAUAUACAUAAUUCCAGUAUAAUUUAUUCAGGUUAAUGGAAUAAGUAUGAGCGAGAAAUCCGAAUAAAUAACAAGGACGGAGAUAAUAAGCGAUUGAAAAUUACCUUUUCGUUUACGCGACGAUAUCUGGAGAACUAGAAAUCGUAUUGGGAUAAAUGAAAAUGCGUUUUGAAGAGCAAGAUUUCCUGCUUAUAACAAUCUCUCGCUCAUUGAUGGGAAAUAACUAUCCUCGGAGUUAUAGUUGUUUAAACUUUUUCUAAUUUUAAUAGAGUUUAGUUGACUUCUAAAGAGAAAGCGAAUGAUCAAAAAUUACUUUUCUUUUUACAGGGUGAUAUCUUAAGAACUGGAAAUAAUAUCGAGAUAAAUGAAAAUACAUUUUGAAGGAUAAGAUUCUGCGCUUCUAAUGAUCUCUCAUUCGUUGAUCGAAAAUUAUUAUCUUCGGAAUUAGAGCAAUUUAAACUUCUUCAAAUUUUAAUGAAAUUCGACGUUGCUUUCGCAUUAUUCGAUUAAGGCAUGUACGUUGUGCUUUUUUUCUCGGAAUAGAUAUUAAAUUCGCUUCUUAUCGAAUAGGCUAAUGCCACGUAAAAAUGAGUUCGCGGUAUGAAACGACACGACAGAGUAAAUUAUCCGUUUCUUAUUGAAACGUAAUAGAGAUUCUAAGAAUAGAAGAGAACGUGGCAAAAGAGAGCGCGACCAAAGUUCGUGGUGAAAUUACAAAUCGGUCAAUGCGGUGCAAGGUUGCCGAGUUUUAUUUAUCUAUAUCGAUAAUGUCUAUGCUAUAGAUUCUAUUCAUAGAAUUCGAAGACACACGAUAUAUAAUUAACUCGUACGAGACAGGUUAUGAAUAAGCAUACGUGAAAGAAAAUAAUCACAUAUUAAAAAAUUAAACGUGCGAGUUCCUAUAUGUCGACUCGUGUCGCUUUUCGUUCUGUUACGCUUUUUGCUGUAGAUUAUAAAUGAAGUAUAUAUCUGUGUGUCAAAUAUUCAAUGACAGUUAGCAAUUGUCGAAUCAUUUAAGAUGGUUAAUUUUGAUUAAAUUAUAUACAUAUAUAUUUAUAUAUAGAAAGUAAAAUAUUUUAAUUCUAUAAGAAAUAACUCAAAUAUAAAAUAUUAUUAUUAUUAUUAUUAUUGUUGUUAUUGUUGUUGGCGAAUUGUCAUUCUGGAAUGAUCUCCACUUGAAUACUUGAUUUUAUUAAUUAAAAUUGUAACAUAUAAAAUUUUUCUAUUGGAAU